rnacentral:rRNA from 1 species
ACCGCCCCUGUCAGGGCCACCCAAUACCUGUGAAAUGUCACCGUUCUAUCGGUGGCAGACUUGAAUAAACAAGGAAAAACAAAAUGUGAUCAGGCACGGUGGCCCGUUUACCUUCACAUAACCCUCUGAGUACCACUUCCACGUUGCUUCCCCGCAAACCCACCUCUCCGGUGGGAGCGGGGAAGGUCUGCCUCACACUCACCUGCACGCAACAGCAGUCAGACAGCCAUUCACAUAAACAGUAAAACUUUCAACAACGGAUCUCUUGGUUCCCGCAUCGAUGAAGAACGCAGCGAAAUGCGAUAAGUAAUGUGAAUUGCAGAAUUCAGUGAAUCAUCGAAUCUUUGAACGCACAUUGCGCCCUCUGGUAUUCCGGGGGGCAUGCCUGUUCGAGCCUCAAUGAAAACUCUCCUCCCGUGCUGGUGUGUUUCGGCACGUGGAGGGUUCUGGUGGAUGCCCACACGUUCGAACUGUGUGCGCGCCGCCCAAAUCCGCUGUCCGCGAGCCUGGGAAUUGCAGCCGACGUAGUGAGAUUCAAUCUCGUUGGCUGUAAGACCUG